rnacentral:rRNA from 1 species
GACGAACGCUGGCGGCGUGCUUAACACAUGCAAGUCGAGCGAUGAAGUUCCUUCGGGAACGGAUUAGCGGCGGACGGGUGAGUAACACGUGGGUAACUUGCCUCAUAGAGGGGAAUAGCCUUUCGAAAGGAAGAUUAAUACCGCAUAAGAUUGUAGUAUCGCAUGAUACAGCAAUUAAAGGAGUAAUCCGCUAUGAGAUGGACCCGCGUCGCAUUAGCUAGUUGGUGAGGUAACGGCUCACCAAGGCGACGAUGCGUAGCCGACCUGAGAGGGGGAUCGGCCACAUUGGGACUGCGACACGGCCCAGACUCCUACGGGAGGCAGCAGUGGGGAAUAUUGCACAAUGGGGGAAACCCUGAUGCAGCAACGCCGCGUGAGUGAUGACGGUCUUCGGAUUGUAAAGCUCUGUCUUCAGGGACGAUAAUGACGGUACCUGAGGAGGAAGCCACGGCUAACUACGUGCCAGCCGCCGCCGUAA